rnacentral:rRNA from 1 species
CCUACGGGAGGCAGCAGUGGGGAAUUUUGGACAAUGGGCGCAAGCCUGAUCCAGCCAUGCCGCGUGCAGGAUGAAGGCCUUCGGGUUGUAAACUGCUUUUGUACGGAACGAAAAGACUCUGGUUAAUACCUGGGGUCCAUGACGGUACCGUAAGAAUAAGCACCGGCUAACUACGUGCCAGCAGCCGCGGUAAUACGUAGGGUGCGAGCGUUAAUCGGAAUUACUGGGCGUAAAGCGUGCGCAGGCGGUUAUAUAAGACAGAUGUGAAAUCCCCGGGCUCAACCUGGGAACUGCAUUUGUGACUGUAUAGCUAGAGUACGGCAGAGGGGGAUGGGAAUUCCGCGUGUAGCAGUGAAAUGCGUAGAUAUGCGGAGGAACACCGAUGGCGAAGGCAAUCCCCUGGGCCUGUACUGACGCUCAUGCACGAAAGCGUGGGGAGCAAACAGGAUUAGAUACCCUGGUAGUCCACGCCCUAAACGAUGUCAACUGGUUNUUGGGUCUUCACUGACUCAGUAACGAAGCUAACGCGUGAAGUUGACCGCCUGGGGAGUACGGCCGCAAGGUUGAAACUCAAAUGAAUUGACCGGNNGAGAGAGCGAGACGACGACGAGGGAGAGG